rfam:Felis catus isolate Cinnamon breed Abyssinian chromosome E1, whole genome shotgun sequence.
GCCUGGGUGGCUGAGUCGGUUGAGCGUCCGACUUCAGCUCAGGUCAUGAUCUCACGGCUCGUGGGUUUGAGCCCCACGUCGGGCU